rnacentral:rRNA from 1 species
AAUAGAUACCCCGGUAGUCCACGCCGUAAACGAUGAGUGCUAAGUGUUAGGAGGGUUUCCGCCCUUUAGUGCUGCAGCUAACGCAUUAAGCACUCCGCCUGGGGAGUACGGCCGCAAGGCUGAAACUCAAAGGAAUUGACGGGGGCCCGCACAAGCGGUGGAGCAUGUGGUUUAAUUCGAAGCAACGCGAAGAACCUUACCAGGUCUUGACAUCCGUCUGACAACCCUAGAGAUAGGGGCUUUCCCCUUCGGGGGACAGAGUGACAGGUGGUGCAUGGUUGUCGUCAGCUCGUGUCGUGAGAUGUUGGGUUAAGUCCCGCAACGAGCGCAACCCUUGAUCUUAGUUGCCAGCAUUCAGUUGGGCACUCUAAGGUGACUGCCGGUGACAAACCGGAGGAAGGUGGGGAUGACGUCAAAUCAUCAUGCCCCUUAUGACCUGGGCUACACACGUGCUACAAUGGAUGGUACAAAGGGCUGCAAACCUGCGAAGGUAAGCGAAUCCCAUAAAAGCCAUUCUCAGUUCGGAUUGCAGG